GUAGAAAUCUGUUCACGGAGAGAAAAAAGAAGUUAGUUUAAAAAAAAAAAAAAAAGGAAAACCAGCAGACCAUAAAAGAUACACAAAUAAGUGUUUUAAGGUGAAGGUAUUGCCCAACCCUUAAAGCAAAGAAGCUGAAAAUCUUGAGUCCUGGGUUCUAGUUUUAACUAAGUGCAUUGCUGAAUUACCAGUGAUAGCUGGAUUUCAAUGGCAAACGUACUUAAUCUUUGUAAAGUCCUUGAUAUUUCUUUUGACUAUGAAGUACAAGGGAAAAUAGCAGCCUCACUUAUUUUAUCUAGAAUAGACUCAUGCUUCAUUUUAUACUGCCAUUUCCCUUGUUUCAUGUAAAACAAUUCUGGACAGACACUUUUGUCCGCAUGUAAAAACACUCCUAUUCAACUCCAGGCAGGUUCUGUCUGGAUGAAUCCAGUAGGAUUUAGCUGAUGUCCUCAAGAUAUUGCAAAUAUUUUUUCUACCAGAUGAAAGGGAAUUU